AUAACCGUAGUAAUUCGUAGGGCUAAUACGUGCGAAGCGCCGAAGCCGCGAGGCGACGGCGUUCUCGCCGGAUGUAGGAACCGACCCGGGGACCGCCGGGGCAACCCGGCGCCCCCGAGACGGGGCGAACCACGGUGAAAUGACGGAUCGUCGGCCCCGCGCCGGCGACUCGCCGAAUGAGUUUCUGACCUAUCAACUCGAGACGGCGGGGUAGAGGCCCGCCGCGGUAACGACGGGUAACGGGGAAUCAGGGUUCGAUUCCGGAGAGGGAGCCCGAGAAACGGCUACCACUUCCAAGGAAGGCAGCAGGCGCGCAACUUACCCUAAUCUCGAUUCGAGGAGGUAGUGACAAGAAAUACCGAUGCGGGACCCUACGGGUGCCGCGUUCGGAAUGAGUACGAUUCGAACCACCUAACGAGGAACGAUCGGAGGGCAAGUCUGGUGCCAGCAGCCGCGGUAAUUCCAGCUCCAAUAGCGUAC
rnacentral:rRNA from 1 species